AAGAGAUGCUGUCGGUUCUGAGUAGAGGGAGUACAGGUGCGACUGGAAGUACCUUUUCCGUAGCAGGUUAAGAUAAUUUACACAGCAGUACCGCCCGGAAGCGCAUGGAGUCUUUCCUGAUUCAAGAGGUGGGGACCAAAUUUGCAGCCAAACAAGAUGUUAGGAGCUAGACAGUAGUCAAGCACCGUCACUCUCAUCUACAACAGCGUCUCAGAUCCAGUUAAGGCUUAUGGGUGAUGGGAGUGACUGGACCAGAGCUGUGCUGUCAUGGAGGUGCCUGCAGAGGGCGCUGAUGAUGAGAAGUGACUGUACCGUGAGGGUGGCCCUACCAGGGAGGAAGAGAAGGAGAAAGAGAGUUCUGUUGACCAAAUGGAACACAGAAGCGGGCACUAGAUGGAGACAGCCGAGGGUUUGGACUGAGCAGGGAUCACAUGUCAUCAAUAGAAGACUAGAAGUGGGAACUGUAUUACAUUAUAGAAGGCAGCGGUGGUAGAAAGACAUCCCAAAUCAAAUGUUAUUUGUUACAUACACAUGGUUAGCAGAUGUUAAUGCGAGUGUAGCGAAAUGCUUGUGCCUCUAGUUCCGACCGUGCAGUAAUAUCUAACCUAACAUCUAAUCUAACCUAACAAUUUCACAACAACACAACACGUGUAAAGGAAUGAAUAAGAAUAUGUACGCAAAAACAGUGUUAUUCAGAGUGAGCAGAGUACAGUGGAGCGCUGUCCAGACACUUCUCUCCCCAGGUAUGUGCAACUUUACUUCUCAUGCACCAAGGGAACUUCACCGUAUGACUUGCAAAAUGUGUAGCAGCAGGUGUUAAUUGUCUGGCAGGUUUAAGGAUAUUGUGUUUUUUUUAUGUGGGUAGAGGUGUCUCUCUGUCUAGGAUCUGAGUAGGAUCAUUGGAACAGCAGCAAGGAGACAGAUGAGCUGGAGAGCAGAGGAAACCGGAUCUGGAGGUAAUAGUAACCUUACAUCAUCUUAACAUGGUCAUAAGCAUCAUUGGAUGAUUACCACAACCUGUGAGGAGAUUCUCAUAUUUAUUUGCCUGUCCCUGCUAAGUGUCAAAGUAUCAGGUCCAUUGCACUAAUCUGUAGUCAUGCAUGUAGACUAUACUGUGUAUACAAAACAUUAAGAACACCUGCUCCUUCCAUGACACAGACUGACCAGGUGAAAGCUAGUAUCCCUUAUUGAUGUCACUUGUUAAGUCCACUUCAAUCAGUGUAGAUG